UCUAACGAGUGGCUAAUUCCGCAUGGUUCCGUCUUGUCGCAUGGUGAGACGGAUAAAGCUGGGGAUCUUCGGACCUGGCGCUGGAGGAGGAGCCCGCGUCCCAUUAGCUAGUUGGUGAGGUAACGGCUCACCAAGGCUACGAUGGGUAGCCGAUCUGAGAGGAUGACCGGCCACACUGGGACUGAGAUACGGCCCAGACUCCUACGGGAGGCAGCAGUCGAGAGGCUUCGGCAAUGGGGGAAACCCUGACCGAGCGACGCCGCGUGCGGGAUGAAGGCCUUCGGGUCGUAAACCGCUGUCAGGAGGGAAGAAUCCUCCCGAGCUAAUACCUCGGGAGUUGACGGUACCUCCAGAGGAAGCUCCGGCUAACUCCGUGCCAGCAGCCCGCGGUAAUACGGAGCGUUGUUCGGAUUCACUGGGCGUAAAGGGUGU
rnacentral:rRNA from 1 species